rnacentral:lncRNA from 1 species
GGUUGUAUCAGGGGAGGUGGAUCUACCAGUGAACGGCUGAGAUGAGAAGAUAACGGUUUGAUAAGUGAAGCUUGCUACACCGCGGAUCGAGCAUCCCACAGCUCGGAGGUACUCCCGCGUCGCUGUUCACUUUCAGACAAGCGCACUAUCUUCUUCCUUUCCUUUCUCUGCUUUUUGAGUGAGCUGGCUUAUAAAUGCCCCUCACACCAGCCCAUAGAGGCAUGUAAGAAUUGCAUGGGUACAAACCCUAGCCGCCUGUGGCGUGCUUUAUCCAUUUUCCUCAAGAUCCAGGCAAUAUAAAUCCUAUUCUACCUAUUCUCCGCCUCUGAAAUUGGUUGCCGGUGCGUUUUUAGCUCAAGUCAGUAGCUUGAUCCUGAGAAUUGGUAUCCAGAGCCACUCGAUUUUUCGGCUGGAGGGGCAUCAGGGAUGAAUGGAGGCAAGCUUCUAGCUGGAUUCAGAUCUAGAUCCAGCAGAAGGUAAGCAUCUCAAAUCCCACCACCCACCCUGUUUUUGAGAGCAGCGGCAUGACUGGCUAGGGAGAUUCGAUGGUUACGGUAGAUUUGCAAUUGGCAUCGUUAGAAUUGGACAUUAAGACCCUGCAGAACAGUAAAGAAGAGGAUAGAAUGGAGUUUCACGAAUUUAGAACGAUGGUUAACAAGAACUUUGUUACCAUGCAAGGAAAUUUUGAUAAGAUCCAGGAAAAUUUCAGAAAACUGCUGAUGGAUCAGGGGGCCGAAGAAGAAUAGCUUGAGCGUUCUGAGCAGGGUAGUGUAUAGAAGAAAGUUGAGGAGGUACAUUCACCUGUAGUUCCUGCAGGCAGACCCAAAUAGUUGGUUAAUUUUACACCACCUUCAGUUCAGGGCCAAGAGAAAGAGGCUCCAAUGAUAGUAGUGGGCACAGCUGUGUUGAGAGAUCACACUAGGAAGGAACUUAAUUUAGAUGGUACAACAAAAGCACCAUAUAGGCAUGCUAAUUUUACCAGCAACAAAAAUGAUGGACAACAAAUAGUUGGGCAUCAACAAUACCUGCAGUUGCAACAAGUGGAUACAGGGGUUAUCGAAGAAUGGCCUGAUGCGCAGAGGGACAGGCAAUAUUCACCAUCUGACAGUAGAAGACCUAUUCUCACAGUGAAACCUGCAAAAUUGAACAUUUCUGAAUUUGAAGGAGUGGACCCUGAAGCUUGGAUUCAGAAUUUGGACCAAUACUUUGCUGCUGCUAGGACUCCUAUUGAUCAUCGGAUAGAGUUGGUUGUGUCUUACUUAAAAGGGCCAGCUGUGCAGUGGUGGAGAGGAACAGGGUAUGCUCCUAACAAUGUACCCUAGCACAAGUUUUGUUCUUACCUGUCUGACAGAUUUGUAGUGGAAUCUGCUUGUGAUAUUGUCAGUUCACAGCAACCAGUACAAGUGAUACCAGUUAAUAAUUAUGUGCCACAGCCUAGGAGACAGGUCACCUUUGAGCAACCAAAGAAUGAGGGCAAUCCUGCAUCACAAAAUAGGAAUGCAGUAAUCCAACUGGCCAAGCAGAAUCAAGUUUGCUACAAAUGUAGAGAGCCUUGGGUUCCAGGGCACAGGCAGGUGUGCAAAAUGAGUCAGAGGGCUCAGAUUCAGGCAUUGCAAGAGGAGGAAGUGCAUGAGACCAUAUAUGUCACUGACUUUGCUGAUCCGGAGCUUGAUAACUUGGAACAGAACCAAGUUGAGACUGUUUUGCAAUUAUCUAUGCAUGCAGCUAUGGGAAUUGGAGCUAUGAGGAAUACUUUUGUCCUAACCAUUAAGGUGGGAAAUACUUCUGCUAUUGCUUUAGUAGACAGUGGCAGCACUUCUACAUUUGUAUCUCUAGAGAUGGCAGCUAAAUUGCAAGUGAAAGCCAAACCUACCCAAAGAGUGAAAGUGGAUGUUGUUAGUGGUGAAGUGGUGUGGAGUGAGUUCAUGGUGCAGGAUUGUAAGUAUGAGAUUCAAGGUAAACAGUUUACUGAUUGUUUCAGAGAUCUCUAGUUGAAGGGCUAUGAAAAAAUACUUUGAGUGGAUCGGUUGAAAAACUAUAGUCCAGUGCACAUGGAUUUCAUCAAAAUGGAAAUGAAGGUGUCCGGUGUUGAUGGCCAGAUAAUUACUUUUGCUGAUGAGACAGUGCCAAAGAUACAGCCUGAUGAAGCUAAAGAUUUCACUGACAAGUUAAUGGAGCAAGAAGUAUGUGGGUUUGUGUUGUUUACUGCCUGUGCUGUGGAAGUAGUAGGCACACCUAAAGUAUUGCUUGAUGAAAUGCAGACCAUGUUGCAAGAUUAUGAACAGUUGUUUCAAGAACCUACAGAAUUGCCUCCAAGCAGGCCUUGUGACCACAGAAUUCCUUUGAUGGAAGGGGCCAAAGUGGUGAACCAAAGACCUUACAGAAUGCCACAUCAUCAAAAGGAGAUACUGGAAAAGAUAAUCAAAGAACUAUUGAAAUCUGGGGUGAUCAGGCCUAGCACUAGUCCAUUUUCUUGUCCUGUGUUGUUGGUGAAAAACAAAGAUGGGUCCUGGAGGUUGUGCACUGACUACAGAAAAUUGAAUGCUAUAACAAUCAAAAAUAAAUACCCAAUUCCUAUCAUUGAGGAUUUGUUGGACCAGUUGAAAGGGGCUAAAUAUUUUCCCAAAAUUGAUCUCAGGAAUGGGUAUCACCAGAUCAGGAUGGCAGAAGAAGACAUACAUAAAACAGCUUUUCUGACGCAUAUGGGGUUAUAUGAAUACUUAGUUAUGUCCUCUGGGCUAACUAAUGGACCUCCAAGUUUCCAAGAUCUAAUGAACUUCUUAUUUCGAAUCCUUAAGUUUGUGGUGACCUUCUUUGAUGACAUACUGGUUUUCAGCACUUCCUUGGUUGAGCAUAAGAGUCAUCUUACUUAGGUGUUUGAUAUCUUGCAAAAGAAUAAAUUAUAUGCAAGAUUGGAAAAAUGCUCUUUUGGUCAGACUGAGGUGGAGUACUUGGGCCACAUAAUUAAUCAGGAGGGGGUGGCUACUGAUCCUUCUAAAAUUAAAGCAAUUCAAGAAUGGCCUGGUCCUACCAAUAUUACUGAAUUAAGGAGUUUUCUAGGACUAAGUGGAUACUACAGAAGGUUCAUUCAAGGUUAUGGAAUCAUAUGUAGACCACUGUUUGAUUGCCUGAAAAAGGAUGCUUUCCAAUGGGGGGCUGAUCAAGACAGGGCAUUUGCUGCAAUUAAAGAGAAACUGACUCAUUCCCAGUACUAAUCCUACCCGACUUCUCCAAGACUUUUGUUCUAGAAGAAGAUGUUUGUGGUUAUGGUCUAGGAGCUGUCCUGAUGAAGGAGGGCAGGCCCAUUUCUUUUCUAAGAAAGACUAUAGGACCUAGAGCUGCUUCUAUGUCCACCUAUGAUAAGGAAGCUAUGGCAAUUAUUGAGGCUGUCAAGAAGUGGAUGCACUAUUUCCUGGCCACUACACUUGUCAUCAGAACAGAUCAGGAGAGCCUCAAAUAUAUUCAGGAACAGAAACUGACUGAAGGGAUUCAACAUAAGCUAUUGCUCAAGUUACUGGGAUACAACUUCACCAUUGAGUAUAAGAAGGGCAAGGAGAACAAGGCAGCUGAUGCCUUAUCCAGAGUUAAACCCUUAGCUUCCAUGUUGGUUCCUAGUAGCACUACUCCUACCUAGAUAGUGGAAGUGGCUAAGAGCUACAGUCAAGAUGAGAGGGUGAAAGAGUGGAUUACUCAGAGUUUUGUGGAGAAGAGCCCUGCUAAUGCAUACUCUUAUAAGAAUGGUAUCCUCGGGUUCAAAAAUAGAGUAGUAGUGGGGAGUACAACUACUUUAAGGCAGGAGUUGUUGAAAACAUUCCACAGCUCAGAAUUAGGAGGUCACUCUGGAGAAAGAGCUACUUAUCACAGAGUAAAGUUGGUGUUCCAUUGGCCAGGGUUGAAGCAAGAUGUUACUGCAUCUGUGAAAGCAUGCCAUGUGUGCCAGAUUAAUAAAGCAGAGCAUUGCCCUUAUCCAGGAAUGUUAGAGCCCCUACCUGUACCUGAUUUUGCAUGGGCACAUGUGAGCAUGGACUUUGUGGAGGGACUACCCCUGUCCGAAAACAAGGAUCUCAUUUUGGUUGUGGUGGACAGAUAUACAAAUUAUGCCCAUUUCAUAGCAAUGAAGCAUCCUAUUUCAGUAGAAUCUGUGGCUAGAGUUUUUUCUAAAACAGUGUUCAAACUACAUGGCAUGCCAGUGGUGAUUGUUACUGAUAGGGACAGGUUGUUCACUAGCAACCUGUGGCAGCAAUUAUUCAAGUCUCAGAAACUCAAAUUACACAUGAGCACCAGCUAUCAUCCACAAUCUGAUGGGCAGACUGGAAGAGUAAAUCAGUGUCUGGAAAACUAUUUGAGGUGCAUGUGUUUUCAACAGCCAAAGAAGUGGCAUGGUUGGCUAGCAUUAGCUGAGUGGUGGUACAAUACAAGUUUCCACACUUCACUGCAAAUGACACCAUUAGCUGAGUCUGCCUUACCUGACACUAUAUCUGUUGAUUCAGAGAAUUUACUACAGAACAGAGAGCUAGCUUUGGAUGUAAUCAAACAAAAUUUGAUCAAGUCCCAAGCAAGAAUGAAAUGGCUUGCUAACAAGAAGAGGAAAGAAAGAGAAUUUGAGAUUGGUGACAUGGUUUAUUUGAAACUACAACCUUAUAGGCACACAUCUCUGAGCAUGCAUAGGAAUUUAAAACUGCAUUCCAAGUUUUAUGGACCCUUCAGAAUUUUGCAGAAGGUUGGGUUCCAUGCAUACAAGCUGUUGUUGCCUGAGGGUUGUAAACUACAUCCCACAUUUCAUGUGAGCCAGUUAAGGAAGCAUGUGAGACCAGCAGUAGUCCCUUCAAAGGAUCUGCCCCUAUUUGGUCCUGAUGGUCUGAUCAAGAUAGAGCCUGAAACUCUGUUGGAGAGGAAGCUGGUUCCAAGGGUCUAGGGUGACACCAGUAUUCCUGUGGUUAGAUGGUUGAUCAAAUGGGUUAACAUGCCAGUGGAGGAAGCCACUUGGGAGGAUGCAUCUUUUAUCCAGAAGGUUUUCCCUUCAUUUGCAGCUCAGGGCCAAGCUGCAGAUUAAUAGGGGGAAUUGUCAGGAUCCAUCCCCUGUUCCUGCGUGCCGGUUGUAUCAGGGGAGGUGGAUCUAGUAGUGAACGGCUGAUAUGAGAAGAUAACGGUUCGAUAAGUGAAGCCAGCUACACCGCUGAUCGAGCAUCCCACGGCUCAGAGCUACUCCCGCGUCGCUGUUCACUUUCAGACAAGCGCACUAUCUUCUUCCUUUCCUUUAUCUGCUUUUUGAGUGAGCUGGCUUAUAAAUGCCCCUCACACCAGCCCAUAGAGGCAUGUAAUAAUUGUGUGGGUACAAACCCUAGCCGCCUGUGGCGUGCUUUAUCCAUUUUCCUCAAGAUCCAGGCAAUAGAAACCCUAUUCUACCUAUUCUCCGCCUCUGAAAUUGGUUGCCGGUGCGUUUUUAG